GUGGGUGUAGCUCAGUUGUAGAGUGCAUGCUUUGUAUGUAUGUUGUCCUAGGUUCAAUCCCUAGUGUUUCCC